rnacentral:rRNA from 1 species
UAGUCCACGCCGUAAACGAUGGUUACUAGCUGUUCGGACUUCGGUCUGAGUGGCUAAGCGAAAGUGAUAAGUAACCCACCUGGGGAGUACGUUCGCAAGAAUGAAACUCAAAGGAAUUGACGGGGGCCCGCACAAGCGGUGGAGCAUGUGGUUUAAUUCGAUGAUACGCGAGGAACCUUACCAGGGCUUAAAUGUAAAGUGACAGGACUAGAGAUAGUUUUUUCUUCGGACACUUUACAAGGUGCUGCAUGGUUGUCGCCAGCUCGUGCCGUGAGGUGUCAGGUUAAGUCCUAUAACGAGCGCAACCCCUGUUGUUAGUUGCCAGCAUGUAAAGAUGGGAACUCUAACAAGACUGCCCGCGUAAGCGGAGAGGAAGGUGGGGACGACGGUCAAAUCAUCAUGGCCUUUAUGCCUAGGGCUACACACGUGCUACAAUGGCAGGUACAGAGGUUGCGAAGGGGUGACCUGGAGCUAAUCUCAGAAAGCCUGUCCCAGUUCGGAUUGGAGCCUGC